ensembl:snRNA U6 U6 spliceosomal RNA
GUGUUUGCUUCGAUAGCACAUAUACUAAAACUGGAACAAUACAGAAAUUAGCAUGGCCCCUAAAUAAGGAUGAUACGAAAACUUGUGAAACGGUCCAUAUUUUA